UUGAACGCUGGCGGCAUGCUUUACACAUGCAAGUCGAACGGCAGCACGGGGGCAACCCUGGUGGCGAGUGGCGAACGGGUGAGUAAUAUAUCGGAACAUAUCCGGGAGUGGGGGAUAACGUAGCGAAAGUUACGCUAAUACCGCAUAUGCCCCGAGGGGGAAAGGGGGGGAUCGCAAGACCUCUCGCUUUCGGAGUGGCCGAUAUCGGAUUAGCUAGUUGGUGGGGUAAAGGCCCACCAAGGCGACGAUCCGUAGCUGGUCUGAGAGGACGACCAGCCACACUGGAACUGAGACACGGUCCAGACUCCUACGGGAGGCAGCAGUGGGGAAUUUUGGACAAUGGGCGCAAGCCUGAUCCAGCCAUGCCGCGUGAGUGAAGAAGGCCUUCGGGUUGUAAAGCUCUUUCAGCCGGAAAGAAACGGUCGCGGUUAAUAACCGCGGCUAAUGACGGUACCGGAAGAAGAAGCACCGGCUAACUACGU
rnacentral:rRNA from 1 species